UAUAAAACAGCUUCCAUUUGCAAUUGAUUAUUUCCAAAUGAUCAAAUUCUGGGUCUGGCAAGUUAAAAAAGAGACAUUUUCUAACUAGUCACUACAGGAACUUUGAUAUUCAAAGACAAAUUGCAUAUUGCUGUUAUCAAACAGUUCACUGUACUCCUCAGAUCUAUUGCACAAACAAAAUAUCCGUUUAGCAUGUUCAACACUUCUGAUAAGCUGCAAUUUUAUUUUAAUUUUGUUAAGACCCCUUGAUUUAUGAAUUAAAUUAAACUAUCGAAGCUUUAUAAUAAAAGACUUAUGAAUCUUUAUUCUUAUUAGAAUUCUUUACAGAAUUACACUGGUAUUGGAUACUGUAGUCGAUCAGAAUUUUGUUAAGAAUUACAUUCAAUUUGGUAUUUGAUGCGACCGUCUUGUUAGAACUCUGUAAAGAAUUACAUUGGUUUUGUAUGUUGUAGUCUUAUCAGAAUUCUGUUAAAAUUACAUUCAAUUCCGUAUUUGAUGCGACCAUCUUAUCAGAAUUCUGUUAAGAUUUGCAUUGCAUGGAACUGGAUGCUAUAGUCUUGUCAGAUUUCUGAUAAGAAUUGAAUUGUUAUAAGAUGCUAUAGUCUUAUCAGAAUUUUGUUAAGAAUUAUAUUGGUAUUAGAUGCUAUAGUCCUAUAUAUCAGAAUUCUUGUAAGAAUUAUAUUGGUAUUAGAUGCUAUAGUCCUAUAUAUCAGAAUUCUUUUAAGAAUUAUAUUGGUAUUAGAUGCUAUAGUCCUAUCAGAAUUCCUGUUAAGAAUUAUAUUGGUAUUAGAUGCUAUAGUCUUAUCAGAAUUCUGUUAAGAAUUAUAUUGGUAUUAGAUGCUAUAUAGUCUUAUCAGAAUUCUGUUAAGAAUUAUAAGGUAGAAUUAUAUUGGUAUUAGACACUAGUAUAGUCUUGUCAGAAUUCUGUUAAGAAUUGUAUUGGUAUUGGAUGCUAUAGUCUUAUCAGAAUUCUGUUAAGAAUU
rnacentral:lncRNA from 1 species